rnacentral:rRNA from 1 species
CAGCCGCCGCGGGAAUACAGAGGGUGCAAGCGUUAAUCGGAAUUACUGGGCGUAAAGCGCGCGUAGGUGGUUUGUUAAGUUGGAUGUGAAAUCCCUGGGCUCAACCUGGGAACUGCAUCCAAAACUGGCAAGCUAGAGUAUGGUAGAGGGUGGUGGAAUUUCCUGUGUAGCGGUGAAAUGCGUAGAUAUAGGAAGGAACACCAGUGGCGAAGGCGACCACCUGGACUGAUACUGACACUGAGGUGCGAAAGCGUGGGGAGCAAACAGGAUUAGAUACCCCAGUAGUCCCUGUCUCUUAUAC